AGAGUUUGAUCCUGGCUCAGGACGAACGCUGGCGGCGUGCUUAACACAUGCAAGUCGAGCGGUAAGGCCCCUUCGGGGGUACACGAGCGGCGAACGGGUGAGUAACACGUGAGCAAUCUGCCCUUCACACGGGGAUAACCACCGGAAACGGUGGCUAAUACCCGAUACGACCACUUCAGGCAUCUGAUGGUGGUGGAAAGUUCCGGCGGUGGAGGAUGAGCUCGCGGCCUAUCAGCUUGUUGGUGGGGUAAUGGCCUACCAAGGCAACGACGGGUAGCCGGCCUGAGAGGGUGACCGGCCACACUGGGACUGAGACACGGCCCAGACUCCUACGGGAGGCAGCAGUGGGGAAUAUUGGACAAUGGGCGAAAGCCUGAUCCAGCAACGCCGCGUGAGGGAUGACGGCCUUCGGGUUGUAAACCUCUUUCAGCAGGGACGAAGCGCAAGUGACGGUAGCUGCAGAAGAAGCACCGGCCAACUACGUG
rnacentral:rRNA from 1 species